rfam:Lipomyces starkeyi NRRL Y-11557 unplaced genomic scaffold LIPSTscaffold_16, whole genome shotgun sequence.
UCGGCAAUAGUUUAGUGGCUAGAAUUUCCGCCUGUCAGGUAGAUGUACCAGCUCGCGGGGGACCGGGGUUCAAUUCCCCGUUGCCGAG